rnacentral:rRNA from 1 species
UGGGGAAUAUUGGGCAAUGGGGCGCAAGCCUGACCCAGCAACGCCGCGUGAAGGAAGAAGGCUUUCGGGUUGUAAACUUCUUUUAAGAGGGAAGAGCAGAAGACGGUACCUCUAGAAUAAGCCACGGCUAACUACGUGCCAGCAGCCGCGGUAAUACGUAGGUGGCAAGCGUUGUCCGGAUUUACUGGGUGUAAAGGGCGUGUAGGCGGGAAGACAGGUCAGAUGUGAAAUACCGGGGCUCAACCCCGGAGCUGCAUUUGAAACCGUUUUCUUGAGUAUCGGAGAGGCAGGCGGAAUUCCUAGUGUAGCGGUGAAAUGCGUAGAUAUUAGGAGGAACACCAGUGGCGAAGGCGGCCUGCUGGACGACAACUGACGCUGAGGCGCGAAAGCGUGGGGAGCAAACAGGAUUAGAUA